UGCCUAAAACAUAGCGUUAAUGCACUGGAUCCCAUUAUAACUCUACAAUUUAGUGCACUCAGGCUAGAGUAGUACUAGUAUGGGUGACUGCCCGGAAAGUCCUACUAUUUUAUAUGC
rfam:Picea glauca, whole genome shotgun sequence.